GCUCAGGCGGUGGAGGAGAGGGGAGGUGGCUGCAUCUGCAAAACUACGGGGAGCAGCCGGUCUCAGUGCCACUAUGGGUGCUGAAAUGUGCUGCAGCAGGAACCUUGGAGUGGCAAGCUGGAACAACACAGGAACAUUACUGGGAAUUGUGCCAGCACUUCCCACUGAAGACUGAGUUACUUAUCAAAGAACUGCUUAUCAUUUUUGUAGGAGCAAUCAUGGCCAGCAGGAAUCAAAUUUGGUUAACACAUCAACAAGCUCAACCCACAGUCCAAGUCCAUAUGGAUGUUUGAGCCACAGGGGGUGCAGGAGCCCAGAUGAUCAAGUGUGUCAAAGACCAAUAACAGAUAGCAGUAUAACAGGGACCCAGUCGAGGACUGUUGAGACAAGCACAACACAGUACAGUGCAAACACAGAAAUGAGGUCACAAAGUGAGCAUGGACUGUCAAUCAAAGGUUGCCCCAGCAGCAGUGGGCACUGGUUUGAUCAAAGGCCUCAUCCAGAAAGAACUCAAUGGACAAAUUACAUACAUCCAUGCACGCGAGAAAAUUACAGAUUUGUAAUAAAGCCAUAAGACAUUUGCACAAAUUCAGCUGAAAGUCUCUUACCGCUGCAUUAGCCUGAGUAUGGCUGAUAACAAACUUGUGAAUUACCUCAGUCCUGCAUGUCUGGGAUACCAGCUGAGUCCUGCCUGUGCUGAGGGAGUAUAUCUCAUCUACCCAUGCUCCUGCGUGCAGGGCAUAGACUGUAGACCAGGUAAUGGAGGGCAGGAGUGAGGUUACAGGUUGUGCCCACGCAUUGCUGUUUCCCUACAAAACUUUUGAAA